CGAACGAUGAUAUCACUGCUUGCAGUGAUUGAUUAGUGGCGAACGGGUGAGUAACACGUGAGGAACUUGCCCAUGAGCGGGGGACAACAUUCGGAAACGGAUGCUAAUACCCCAUAGGUGGAUUGGUCGCAUGACGAAUUCAUUAAAGGUGGCUUUGCUACCACUCAUGGAUAGCCUCGCGGCGUAUUAGCUAGUUGGUAAGGUAAUGGCUUACCAAGGCAGUGAUACGUAGCCGACUUGAGAGGGUGAUCGGCCACACUGGGACUGAGACACGGCCCAGACUCCUACGGGAGGCAGCAGUAGGGAAUCUUCCACAAUGGGUGCAAACCUGAUGGAGCAAUGCCGCGUGAGUGAAGAAGGUCUUCGGAUCGUAAAGCUCUGUUGUUAGAGAAGAACACGUGCUAGGUAACUACUAGCGCCUUGACGGUAUCUAACCAGAAAGUCACGGCUAACUACGUGCCAGCAGCCGCGGUAAUACGUAGGUGACAAGCGUUGUCCGGAUUUAUUGGGCGUAAAGGGAGCGCAGGCGGUCUGUUUAGUCUAAUGUGAAAGCCCACGGCUUAACCGUGGAACGGCAUUGGAAACUGACAGACUUGAAUGUAGAAGAGGAAAAUGGAAUUCCAAGUGUAGCGGUGGAAUGCGUAGAUAUUUGGAGGAACACCAGUGGCGAAGGCGAUUUUCUGGUCUAACAUUGACGCUGAGGCUCGAAAGCGUGGGGAGCGAACA
rnacentral:rRNA from 1 species